AGCUCAGUUGGUAGAGCGCUCCACUUGUAAUGGAGAGGGGCCCGGGUUCGAUACCCGG
rnacentral:tRNA from 1 species